GUCGCCUCCUAAAAGGUAACGGAGGCGCUCAAAGGUUCCCUCAGAAUGGUUGGAAAUCAUUCAUAGAGUGUAAAGGCAUAAGGGAGCUUGACUGCGAGACCUACAAGUCGAGCAGGGUCGAAAGACGGACUUAGUGAUCCGGUGGUUCCGCAUGGAAGGGCCAUCGCUCAACGGAUAAAAGCUACCCCGGGGAUAACAGGCUUAUCUCCCCCAAGAGUUCACAUCGACGGGGAGGUUUGGCACCUCGAUGUCGGCUCAUCGCAUCCUGGGGCUGUAGUCGGUCCCAAGGGUUGGGCUGUUCGCCCAUUAAAGCGGUACGCGAGCUGGGUUCAGAACGUCGUGAGACAGUUCGGUCCCUAUCCGUCGUGGGCGUAGGAAAUUUGAGAGGAGCUGUCCUUAGUACGAGAGGACCGGGAUGGACAUACCUCUGGUGUACCAGUUGUCGUGCCAACGGCAUAGCUGGGUAGCUAUGUGUGGACGGGAUAAGUGCUGAAAGCAUCUAAGCAUGAAGCCCCCCUCAAGAUGAGAUUUCCCAACUUCGGUUAUAAGAUCCCUCAAAGAUGAU
rnacentral:rRNA from 1 species